rnacentral:rRNA from 1 species
GACGAACGCUGGCGGCGUGCUUAACACAUGCAAGUCGAGCGGUAAGGCCCUUUCGGGGGUACACGAGCGGCGAACGGGUGAGUAACACGUGGGUGACCUGCCCUCAGCUCUGGGAUAAGCCUGGGAAACCGGGUCUAAUACUGGAUAUGACUCCAUGACGCAUGUUGUGGGGUGGAAAGCCUUGUGCGGCUGAGGAUGGGCCCGCGGCCUAUCAGCUUGUUGGUGGGGUGAGGCCUACCAAGGCGACGACGGGUAGCCGGCCUGAGAGGCGACCGGCCACACUGGGACUGAGACACGGCCCAGACUCCUACGGGAGGCAGCAGUGGGGAAUCUUGCGCAAUGGGCGAAAAGCCUGACGCAGCGACGCCGCGUGAGGGAUGACGGCC